rnacentral:rRNA from 1 species
UACGGGGCGCAGCAGGCGCGAAAACUUUACCAUGCGGGCAACCGUGAUAAGGAAACCCCGAGUGCCAGCACAGGCUGGCUGUCCGCCAGUUUAAAUAACUGGUGAAGAAAGGGCCGGGCAAGACCGGUGCCAGCCGCCGCGGUAAUACCGGCGGCUCGAGUGGUGGCCGCUAUUACUGGGCUUAAAGGGUCCGUAGCUUGAUAACUGGGUCCCUUGAGAAAUCCGCCAGCUUAACUGGCGGGCGUUCAGGGGAAACUUGUUUUCUAGGGACCGGGAGAGGUGAGGGGUACUGCCGGGGUAGGAGUGAAAUCCUGUAAUCCCGGUGGGACCACCUAUGGCGAAGGCAUCUCACCAGAACGGGUCCGACAGUGAGGGACGAAAGCUGGGGGAGCAAACCGGAUUAGAUACCCGGGUAGUCCCAGCUGUAAACUAUGUGCGUUAGGUGUGUCAGUGACCACGUGUCACUGAGGUGCCGAAGGGAAACCGUGAAACGCACCGCCUGGGGAGUACGGUCGCAAGGCUGGAACUUAAAGGAAUUGGCGGGGGAGCACCACAACGGGUGGAGCCUGCGGUUUAAUCGGACUCAACGCCGGGAAUCUCACCGG